GGGCUUAUGGUCUAGGGGUAUGAUCUCCCCUUCGCAUUCAUUUGUGAUUUGGGGAAGGUCGGGGGUUCAAUUCCCCCUGAGUCCA